GGACGAGGCACUACGGUGCUGAAGCAACAAAUGCCCUGCUUCCAGGAAAAGCCUCUAAGCAUCAGGUAACAUCAAAUCGUACCCCAAACCGACACAGGUGGUCAGGUAGAGAAUACCAAGGCGCUUGAGAGAACUCGGGUGAAGGAACUAGGCAAAAUGGUGCCGUAACUUCGGGAGAAGGCACGCUGAUAUGUAGGUGAGGUCCCUCGCGGAUGGAGCUGAAAUCAGUCGGAGAUACCAGCUGGCUGCAACUGUUUAUUAAAAACACAGCACUGUGCAAACACGAAAGUGGACGUAUACGGUGUGACGCCUGCCCGGUGCCGGAAGGUUAAUUGAUGGUGUUAGCCAAGCGAAGCUCUUGAUCGAAGCCCCGGUAAACGGCGGCCGUAACGAUAACGGUCCUAAGGUAGCGAAAUUCCUUGUCGGGUAAGUUCCGACCUGCACGAAUGGCGUAAUGAUGGCCAGGCUGUCUCCACCCGAGACUCAGUGAAAUUGAACUCGCUGUGAAGAUGCAGUGUACCCGCGGCAAGACGGAAAGACCCCGUGAACCUUUACUAUAGCUUGACACUGAACAUUGAGCCUUGAUGUGUAGGAUAGGUGGGAGGCUUUGAAGUGUGGACGCCAGUCUGCAUGGAGCCGACCUUGAGAUACCACCCUUUAAUGUUUGAUGUUCUAACGUUGACCCGUAAUCCGGGUUGCGGACAGUGUCUGGUGGGUAGUUUGACUGGGGCGGUCUCCUCCUAAAGAGUAACGGAGGAGCACGAAGGUUGGCUAAUCCUGGUCGGACAUCAGGAGGUUAGUGCAAUGGCAUAAGCCAGCUUGACUGCGAGCGUGACGGCGCGAGCAGGUGCGAGAGCAGGUCAUAGUGAUCCGGUGGUUCUGAAUGGAAGGGCCAUCGCUCAACGGAUAAAAGGUACUCCGGGGAUAACAGGCUGAUACCGCCCAAGAGUUCAUAUCGACGGCGGUGUUUGGCACCUCGAUGUCGGCUCAUCACAUCCUGGGGCUGAAGUAGGUCCCAAGGGUAUGGCUGUUCGCCAUUUAAAGUGGUACGCGAGCUGGGUUUAGAACGUCGUGAGACAGUUCGGUCCCUAUCUGCCGUGGGCGCUGGAGAACUGAGGGGGGCUGCUCCUAGUACGAGAGGACCGGAGUGGACGCAUCACUGGUGUUCGGGUUGUCAUGCCAAUGGCACUGCCCGGUAGCUAAAUGCGGAAGAGAUAAGUGCUGAAAGCAUCUAAGCACGAAACUUGCCCCGAGAUGAGUUCUCCCUGACCCUUUAAGGGUCCUGAAGGAACGUUGAAGACGACGACGUUGAUAGGCCGGGUGUGUAAGCGCAGCGAUGCGUUGAGCUAACCGGUACUAAUGAACCGUGAGGCUUAACCUC
rnacentral:rRNA from 1 species